UGUGGGAUUUAGUGAGAAAAUUGUUAAAAGAAGAGAGCUAUGAGUGCUUGAGGGUAAAUGUACGUUUAGAUGUAUAAUAGUCACUAUAAUUGACAAUUGAAUAAUGAAUCAAAAUUAACUGUGAUGAGCUAGAGCAGCAAAUAUACGCUACUAGUAACACACAAACACCGGUGACCGGAAAUGAGACAAUACGCUUACCACACCACGUUAGCACAUCUUAGUUCUCAGUUAAGAGAAGUAGCCAAUGGCUGCUGGACGUGCGUCACCGAGGCAGGCGUCUCCAGUACCUCGUGGACUGGGAGAGAUAUGGCCAGAGGAACGCUCUUGGAUUCCCCGAUCAUUCAUCAUGGACAAUCAGCUAAUCAAGGACUUCCACCGGCUACAUCCUGACAGAUCUGGUGGGUCGCCAGGGGGCUCCCAUUGAGGGGUGGUACUGUCAUGGUACAGCUGUACCAUUCCUAAUGUCUCUGUUUGUCCCUUGUUGGUUCCCCUCCUGUUUUUGUCUGUGUGUGUGUGUGUGUACGUGCGUGCGUGCGUGCUGGCGGGGAGCGGCCUCCGGUGAACUUCCAAUCUGAGACUGACACUCCUGCUACUCAUCUGCUGCUGCUCACCUGCUCUCCAUCCACCAAUCAACACCUUCCAAAAGAUCUCACCACGGAUCCUCCGCUGCUCCACCUCAGCCUGCUGUCCUCGCUCCACCUGCCUGCUCUCACCAGCCUCCUGCCAGCCCGCUGUCUUCGCUCAGUCCACCAGAUUAACGUCACAGUGUGAAAUGAUAGAAAGUCUACAGUGGAGCCACACACAGCAGGUGCAGCAGACUAAGGAACAGAAAGGCAUACUGCAUCCAGUGUCUCUAAAAAAGUCUGAGUAUCAAAAAAAUAAGGUUGUACUGCAUGUCGUCC